rnacentral:rRNA from 1 species
GAAUAUGGGGGGACCAUCCUCCAAGGCUAAAUACUCCUGACUGACCGAUAGUGAACCAGUACCGUGAGGGAAAGGCGAAAAGAACCCCGGCGAGGGGAGUGAAAAAGAACCUGAAACCGUGUACGUACAAGCAGUGGGAGCACAGGUUUACCUGUGUGACUGCGUACCUUUUGUAUAAUGGGUCAGCGACUUAUAUUCUGUAGCAAGGUUAACCGUAUAGGGGAGCCGGAGGGAAACCGAGUCUUAAUUGGGCGUUAAGUUGCAGGGUAUAGACCCGAAACCCGGUGAUCUAGCCAUGGGCAGGUUGAAGGUUGGGUAACACUAACUGGAGGACCGAACCGACUAAUGUUGAAAAAUUAGCGGAUGACCUGUGGCUGGGGGUGAAAGGCCAAUCAAACCGGGAGAUAGCUGGUUCUCCCCGAAAGCUAUUUAGGUAGCGCCUCGUGAAUUCAUCUCCGGGGGUAGAGCACUGUUUCGGCUAGGGGGCCAUCCCGGCUUACCAACCCGAUGCAAACUGCGAAUACCGGAGAAUGUUAUCACGGGAGACACACGGCGGGUGCUAACGUCCGUCGUGAAGAGGGAAACAACCCAGACCGCCAGCUAAGGUCCCAAAGUCAUGGUUAAGUGGGAAACGAUGUGGGAAGGCCCAGACAGCCAGGAUGUUGGCUUAGAAGCAGCCAUCAUUUAAAGAAAGCGUAAUAGCUCACUGGUCGAGUCGGCCUGCGCGGAAGAUGUAACGGGGCUAAACCAUG